UCAUCACUACGCUAGAUGUAUAUCAAUAAGCGGAGGAAAAGAAACUAACAAGGAUUCCCCUAGUAACGGCGAGUGAAGCGGGAAGAGCUCAAAUUUGAAGUCUUAAAGGGUUUCCCUUUACGAAUUGUAGUUUAAAGAAGUGUUUUCUGUUGGAGUUUCGGUAAAAGUUCUUUGGAAUAGGACAUCACAGAGGGUGAGAAUCCCGUAUUUGACCGUUACUUUCCAGCUGUGUGAUACACUUUCAAAGAGUCGGAUUGUUUGGGAAUGCAGUCCAAGAUGGGUGGUAAAUUUCAUCUAAAGCUAAAUAUUGGCGAGAGACCGAUAGCGAACAAGUACCGUGAGGGAAAGAUGAAAAGAACUUUGAAAAGAGAGUUAAACAGUACGUGAAAUUGUCAAAAGGGAAGCGUUUGACAUCAGUGUUGUUUAGUUGAAAAUCAAUUCAAUAAUUUUUGAUUCUAAGUAGUAUUGACUUCAUCAGCUUGCUGCUUUCCUCUCAGGAAAUUAUUGAAUGCACUUUUCAGUUAACAAGUCAACAUCAAUUUCUUUUGUUGUAAAAGGGUAAGAGGAAGGUGGCUUACGCUUCGGCGUCAAGUGUUUAUAGCCUUUUAUCUCUGCAAUCGGAGAGAUUGAGGUACAUGCAGCGUAGACUCCUUCGGGGUUAGAUACACUUGUGCUAAGCUAUAGCCUUGUAUAGACAACUUGUUGACUAUGCUCAGUCAUGUAGCUUACUCGCUUAUGCUAUUUUACCUACGCUUAGGAUGUUGAUAGUCACAGCGUGUAC
rnacentral:rRNA from 1 species